CAAUCCUGGUGGCGAGUGGCGAACGGGUGAGUAAUGUAUCGGAACGUACCUUUCAGUGGGGGAUAACGUAGCGAAAGUUACGCUAAUACCGCAUAUUCUGUGUGCAGGAAAGCAGGGGAUCGCAAGACCUUGCGCUGAUUGAGCGGCCGAUAUCAGAUUAGCUAGUUGGUGAGGUAAAGGCUCACCAAGGCGACGAUCUGUAGCGGGUCUGAGAGGAUGAUCCGCCACACUGGAACUGAGACACGGUCCAGACUCCUACGGGAGGCAGCAGUGGGGAAUUUUGGACAAUGGGGGCAACCCUGAUCCAGCCAUGCCGCGUGAGUGAAGAAGGCCUUCGGGUUGUAAAGCUCUUUCGGCCGGGAAGAAAUCGCAUGGGUUAAUACCCUGUGCGGAUGACGGUACCGGCAUAAGAAGCACCGGCUAACUACGUGCCAGCAGCCGCGGUAAUACGUAGGGUGCGAGCGUUAAUCGGAAUUACUGGGCGUAAAGCGUGCGCAGGCGGUUUUGUAAGACAGGCGUGAAAUCCCCGGGCUCAACCUGGGAACUGCGCUUGUGACUGCAAGGCUAGAGUAUGGCAGA
rnacentral:rRNA from 1 species